AUAUUUGUGGCAGUAUCGUAGCCAAUGAGGUUUAUCCGAGGCGCGAUUAUUGCUAAUUGAAAUCUUUAUAUAUCUUAGGAGUGCUUUAUAACAGUGUUCUAGGAAUUAAAGAAUUUGUUGCAUCUACUGUUAACU